rnacentral:lncRNA from 1 species
UAAGUUCAGCUUGGCACUCACCAGCUUGAUUCCUACUUGCCUGCAGGCUAGUAAAAGCUCAGAAGUUCUGCCCUGGGUUGGAAACUUCACCUCUGUUCCUCCAUAGUGACUCUCCAUGCACAUUCCGUAAUAGAGCCUUGGUUCUAUUUCAUAGAAGGGGUUGGAGAGGCCAGGUCCCCUCAAGUCACUGAGAGCCCCUGAGAUGUGGAGCAGUGGAGAGGCCUGCAGGGCUGCAGGGUAGCGUGUCAGGGUGGUCUCUUCCUCAGUGCAGCUGAGCAGAACUGUCCAACAACCACCAAACACAAAAUGGCUCCUAAUUUCACAUCUCCGCAGAAAGCAGAGCAGGUAAAUUCUGUACGUGGAUUGGAAGCAGCCAAUGAGGGAGGACUGCAUGCAGAAAAAGGAGUGGAAGCUGGAGCUGGAUGCUCCCUUGAAUGCAGGGACCAGCUUACUUGUGUGGAAAGAGCUGAGCAUGGAUUUGUGUCCCACCCCGAAAGAUGCUCAGUUCGUUGAACCAUGAAAAGAAGGAUUUAUUUCUCUUCUCCAUGUGCAAGAGAAGAGUCCAGUGAACAGAUGAAGGAGAUCCUAAAUGUUACCAAACAAAACUUUUAAUGAUCAAUCUAAAGAGAACAGGAAGUUUGACAACAAAAUAUUUCUGUAAUAGACAUCUGGAAAGCACUAGCACAAAAGCACAGAGGAAAACAUGAGGCUGGAUUUCUGGAUACUCCCUUGAGGUUUUGAUUUCAACCAGAGACAGGCCAAGUGUGGUGUUCCAGAUGUUGGAUCAUAGCUCCCAUCAUCCUUCACCAUUGAUUGUGCUGGCUGCGGCUGAUGAGCGAUGCAGUUAAAAAACACCUGGAAGGCUGCCUUUUGCCCACCCUUGCUCCUCACCAAUAUAGAACCAUAUACGUAGGUUCUGACUUCCUCUUUGCAUUCAGGAGGGUUUCUUCAGAGUAAACCCACAUGGCUUUAGACUUCUUUUCACCAACUUGUAAAAACAAGCAAAACCACCCUGUAAGGAGGAAGCAAGGGUUGAGAUGUCAGUAUAGGAAUAAAGAACUGCCGGAAGAUGUCA